rnacentral:rRNA from 1 species
UACGUAGGGGCCUAGCGUUGUCCGGAAUUAUUGGGCGUAAAGAGCUCGUAGGCGGUUCGGCAAGUCGGAUGUGAAAUCUCCACGCUCAACGUGGAGGGGCCAUUCGAAACUGCCGUGACUCGAGUCCGGUAGGGGAGUGUGGAAUUCCCGGUGUAGCGGUGAAAUGCGCAGAUAUCGGGAAGAACACCCGUGGCUAAGGCGGUUCUCUAGUACGGUACUGACGCUGAGACGCGAAAGCGUGGGGAGCGAACGAGG